rnacentral:rRNA from 1 species
AGUGAACGCUGGCGGCAGGCCUAACACAUGCAAGUCGAACGGCAGCACAAGAGAGCUUGCUCUCUGGGUGGCGAGUGGCGGACGGGUGAGGAAUGCAUCGGAAUCUGCCCAUUUGUGGGGGAUAACCUCGGGAAACCGGGACUAAUACCGCAUACGACCUACGGGUGAAAGCAGGGGAUCUUCGGACCUUGCGCAGAUGGAUGAGCCGAUGCCGGAUUAGCUAGUUGGAGGGGUAAAGGCCCACCAAGGCGACGAUCCGUAGCUGGUCUGAGAGGAUGAUCAGCCACACUGGGACUGAGACACGGCCCAGGCUCCUACGGGAGGCAGCAGUGGGGAAUAUUGGACAAUGGGCGCAAGCCUGAUCCAGCCAUGCCGCGUGUGUGAAGAAGGCCUUCGGGUUGUAAAGCACUUUUGUUGGGAAAGAAAAGCAGCCGGUUAAUACCCGGUUGUCAUGACGGUACCCAAAGAAUAAGCACCGGCUAACUUCGUG